AAAGGAGUAAAAAAAUUAGGUAGUAAGGGUGGACCCGAAACUUAAAAAAUUUGGCGGUAUCUUAAACUAAUUAGAGGAACCUGUUUUAUAAUCGACAUUACUCGUCAAAUCUUACUUAGAAUGGUGGCUUGUAUAUCGUUGUAAUAAUAAUAUUUAUGAUUAUUAUUAAUUAGAAUUUUAUUUUAGAUAUCAGAUCAAGGUUCAGCUUAUGUUUAAGUAAAAAAUGGGUUACAAUGUGUAAGAUACAUUAUGGAGUUUAUUUAUAAAGAGUAAAUGAAAGUGGAUUUAAAAGUAUUUUUAGAAUAAUAUGUUAAAUUGAAUUAGCUCUAAGAUAUGC
rnacentral:rRNA from 1 species